UACGUAGGGUGCGAGCGUUAAUCGGAAUUACUGGGCGUAAAGCGUGCGCAGGCGGUUCGUUAAGUCAGCUGUGAAAGCCCCGGGCUCAACCUGGGAAUUGCGGUUGAAACUGGCGGACUAGAAUCUGGCAGAGGGGGGUAGAAUUCCACGUGUAGCAGUGAAAUGCGUAGAUAUGUGGAGGAACACCUGUGGCGAAGGCGGCUCGCUGGGCCGGUCCUGACGCGUGAGACGCGAAGGCGUGGGGAGCGAACGGG
rnacentral:rRNA from 1 species